rnacentral:rRNA from 1 species
AUUGAACGCUGGCGGCAGGCCUAACACAUGCAAGUCGAGCGAGUGGCGGACGGGUGAGUAAUGUCUGGGAAACUGCCUGAUGGAGGGGGAUAACUACUGGAAACGGUAGCUAAUACCGCAUACCAUCGGAUGUGCCCAUAUGGGAUUGUCUAGUAGGUGGGGUAAAGGCUCACCUAGGCGACGAUCCCGAGCUGUUCUGAGAGGAUGACCAUCCACACUGGAACUGAGACACGGCCCAGACUACUACGGGAGGCAGCAGUGGGGAAUAUUGCACAAUGGGCGCAAGCCUGAUGCAGCCAUGCCGCGUGUGUGAAGAAGGCCCUAGGGUUGUAAAGUACGUUCAGUCGGGAGGCGUUACCGACAGAAGAAGCACCGGCUAACUCCGUGCCAGCAGCCGCUGUAAUAC